rfam:Gossypium arboreum cultivar AKA8401 contig_38968_1, whole genome shotgun sequence.
UAUUAAAAAUUUGAUUAAUUUCUACUAUUAAAAAUCAACAUGAUAGAUAGAACAAUCAAAUAGUGACACGUGAUAUGCCAUAUGUGCCUCAUACUAACAUAUAUGAACUCAUUUUUAACAGUAAAAAUAGAUAGUUUUUUUAACA